rnacentral:tRNA from 1 species
GGUCCCGUGGUGUAGCGGUUAACAUGCCUGCCUGUCACGCAGGAGAUCGCGGGUUCGAUUUCCGUCGGGACCGCCA